rnacentral:rRNA from 1 species
UACAGAGGUCUCAAGCGUUUGUUCGGAUUCAUUGGGCGUAAAGGGUGUGUAGGUGGCGCGCUAAGUCGGGUGUGAAAUUUCGGAGCUUAACUCCGAAACUGCAUUCGAUACUGGCGUGCUUGAGGACUGGGAGAGGAGACUGGAAUUCAUGGUGUAGCAGUGAAAUGCGUAGAGAUCAUGAGGAAGACCAGUGGCGAAGGCGGGUCUCUGGACAGUUCCUGACACUGAGACACGAAGGCCAGGGGAGCAAACGGG